UCCGGGGUAGCUCAAUUGGCAGAGCAGCGGGCUGUUAACCCGUGUGUCGUGGGUUCGAGUCCCACCCCCGGAGCCA
rnacentral:tRNA from 1 species